AUUGAACGCUGGCGGCAGGCCUAACACAUGCAAGUCGAGCGGCUGAAGGGAGCUUGCUCCUGGAUUCAGCGGCGGACGGGUGAGUAAUGCCUAGGAAUCUGCCUGGUAGUGGGGGAUAACUUCCGGAAACGGGCGCUAAUACCGCAUACGUCCUGAGGGAGAAAGUGGGGGAUCUUCGGACCUCACGCUAUCAGAUGAGCCUAGGUCGGAUUAGCUAGUUGGUGGGGUAACGGCCUACCAAGGCGACGAUCCGUAACUGGUCUGAGAGGAUGAUCAGUCACACUGGAACUGAGACACGGUCCAGACUCCUACGGGAGGCAGCAGUGGGGAAUAUUGGACAAUGGGCGAAAGCCUAAUCCAGCCAUGCCGCGUGUGUGAAGAAGGUCUUCGGAUUGUAAAGCACUUUAAGUUGGGAGGAAGGGCAGUAAGUUAAUACCUUGCUGUUUUGACGUUACCAACAGAAUAAGCACCGGCUAACUUCGUG
rnacentral:rRNA from 1 species